CCUACGGGUGGCAGCAGUCGAGAAUCAUUCACAAUGGGGGAAACCCUGAUGGUGCGACGCCGCGUGGGGGAAUGAAGGUCUUCGGAUUGUAAACCCCUGUCAUGUGGGAGCAAAUUAAAAAGAUCGUACCACACGAGGAAGAGACGGCUAACUCUGUGCCAGCAGCCGCGGUAAUACAGAGGUCUCAAGCGUUGUUCGGAAUCACUGGGCGUAAAGCGUGCGUAGGCUGUUUCGUAAGUCGUGUGUGAAAGGCGCGGGCUCAACCCGCGGACGGCACAUGAUACUGCGAGACUAGAGUAAUGGAGGGGGAACCGGAAUUCUCGGUGGAGCAGUGAAAUGCGUAGAUAUCGAGAGGAACACUCGUGGCGAAGGCGGGUUCCUGGACAUUAACUGACGCUGAGGCACGAAGGCCAGGGGAGCGAAAGGGAUUAGAUACCCUUGUAGUC
rnacentral:rRNA from 1 species